AUUGAACGCUGGCGGCAUGCCUAACACAUGCAAGUCGAACGGCAGCACGGUCUAGCUUGCUAGACGGGUGGCGAGUGGCGAACAGGUGAGUAACGCGUAGGAAUAUACCUUGAAGUGGGGGACAACCUGGGGAAACUCAGGCUAAUACCGCGUAAUCUCUUCGGAGGGAAGCUGGGGACCGCAAGGCCUGGCGCUUUAAGAUUAGCCUGCGUCCGAUUAGCUAGUUGGUGGGGUAAAGGCCUACCAAGGCGACGAUCGGUAGCUGGUCUGAGAGGAUGAUCAGCCACACUGGGACUGAGACACGGCCCAGACUCCUACGGGAGGCAGCAGUGGGGAAUAUUGGACAAUGGGGGGAACCCUGAUCCAGCAAUGCCGCGUGUGUGAAGAAGGCCUGAGGGUUGUAAAGCACUUUCGGCGGGGAGGAGGAUGAGUUGGUUAAGAGCUGACUUAUUGGACGUUACCCGCAUAAGAAGCACCGGCUAACUCCGUGCCAGCCGCCGCGGUAAUAC
rnacentral:rRNA from 1 species